CCUACGGGUGGCAGCAGUAGGGAAUAUUGCUCAAUGGGGGAAACCCUGAAGCAGCAACGCCGCGUGAAGGAUGAAGGUUUUCGGUUUGUAAACCCCUUUUAGUAGGGAAGAUAAUGACGGUAUCUAACGAAUAAGCACCGGCUAACUCCGUGCCAGCAGCCGCGGUAAUACGGCGGGUGCAAGCGUUACCCGGAAUCACUGGGCGUAAAGAGCGCGUAGGCGGGUUAACAAGUCCGGAGUUAAAUGCUGUGGGUUAACCAUAGAACUGCAUUUGAAACUGUUAAUCUAGAGUGUGGGAGAGGGAAGGGGAAUGCCUUGUGUAGCGGGGAAAUGCGGAGAUAGUAAGAGGAACACCAAGUGGGAAGGCGGCAUGCUGGAACGUAACUGACGCUGAGGCUCGAAAGCGUGGGGAGCAAACAGGAUUAGAUACCCCUGUAGUC
rnacentral:rRNA from 1 species